CACCAAGACACCAAGACACCAAGCCCCUCAAGGGACUCAGGCAGUUGCCUUUUCUCCUCUCCAGAGCACCAACUGAAACAAACCACUCAGCCAGAAUGAACAGAGCAGGACUAUGUUUCACUUUACUACUACUGGGGUGUGUACAUGGGGGGAAGCCCUCUCAAAAGGAUGUGGUGUUUAGUAGGGGCAUCCAGCUCUUUGUAGAAGGUUUGAAAUCUUCUGAUCCAUCUGUACUCAUUCUCUCCUCAUUCGGGAGUGACCCUGGUUCUUCACACACACCUAUGCUGGUGUGUGUCCUCAGUGGUUUACACACACACCUGGUGGACAUCAUUUGGUGGAUCAACAACACCGUGGUUACCCCAGAGAACAAUGUUGUUUGGAGUUCCAGAGGAAGCAAUGGCACGUACACGGCUACUGGACUAUGGACUGUGUCUGGAAAGGACUGGAAGCCACAGAAUUACUACCAGUGUGGAACCAGACAUGAAGGAAAGCUUUAUAUAAAUGUAACACAGUCCUCACUUUGCAGGGAUUUUACUUAAUUACAAAUGUUUGUUGAUUUAUCAAAAAUGUUCUGUACUUGACAGCCUCCUUUGCAUUUAAUGUACAGUCUUUAAACGUAUUAAAAUAUGAAUGCAAUUA